AGCCAUUCCGCAGGCUCCAUCAUCUUCUUGAUAUCCCUUGAUAUUGGAAGGGACUGGGGGAGAAAAGGCCAUGCUUCAUGUGGGAGUUUGCAGAAUGCCAUGAGCAAGGGUGACCACUGCUCAGAGAGGCCUGAAGUGUUCUAUGAUGUUUUGAAUCCCAUGAAACCAUACCAGAGGGGAUAAAUUUUUUGACUGUGUUGAUUUUCUGUGUGGUUCACUCUAGACUUCCUACAACAGACAGCUUAUUAUCUCGCUUUGUGAAAAUCAUACUUGACUUCUGGGAGACGUCUAUCAAAAGGAAAGAAUAGACUGAGAAGCUGGUACUUUCGAUCUAAUUAUCUAGGUUGGUGGUUGUUCAGUGAACCUAUUAACUGCUUGAAGUGACUUGCAUCUUUACAGGUACGCAUAAUCAUUCUCUGCACUAUUUAAAUGGGAAACGCUACAGCUGUUAUGUGUCCCAGUUUAUUUUCU